UACGGAGGGUGCAAGCGUUAAUCGGAAUUACUGGGCGUAAAGGGUGCGUAGGCGGUACGAUAAGUUAUCUGUGAAAGCCCUGGGCUCAACCUGGGAAGGCCAGAUAAAACUGUUGAACUAGAGUAUGGGAGAGGGUAGUGGAAUUUCCGGUGUAGCGGUGAAAUGCGUAGAGAUCGGAAGGAACACCAGUGGCGAAGGCGGCUACCUGGCCUAAUACUGACACUGAGGAGCGAAAGCGUGGGGAGCGAACAGG
rnacentral:rRNA from 1 species